rnacentral:tmRNA from 1 species
GGGGAUGUAAUGGCUUCGACAGGCCUACCGGACCUUUGUAUUGCAGUGGUCUCCAAACCUUAAUGGACUAGGCGCAUUAUAUAAAUGCAAACAACAAAAAACAAGAAGUUGUUACAGAUCAAGAUCUAUUCUUUGCUUCUGCAGCUUCAAACAACUUAGCUUUCGCUUAAUAGCAGCUAACGUAAAAUUACUUUUUCCUCAGAGGUAAUGGCACGUAUUACAUGAGGGGUAGUUGUGUGGACCUACUAAAACACAAUGAAAUUCCAGUAGAAUCUUCAUCAGUUAUUUAGUUCUAUUUGAACUGAAUGAAGAUAAAUUUAAAAUGAACUAAACUGUAGACGUACAUUGUGUAAGGUAUGUGUGGACCCGGGUUCGACUCCCGGCAUCUCCACCA